UUGGAGGGCAAGUCUGGUGCCAGCAGCCGCGGUAAUUCCAGCUCCGAUAGCGUAUAUUAAAGUUGUUGCAGUUAAAAAGCUCGUAGUUGAAUUUCGGGGCCAGUAGGUUGGUCGUGCCACUGGUAUGUACUGGCCUUACUGGUCCCUCCUUCUUGCAGAACCGUGAUGGCAUUAAUUUGUUGUUGCGGGGAAACAGGACUGUUACUUUGAAAAAAUUAGAGUGCUUAAAGCAGGCUCGCGCUUGAAUAUAUUAGCAUGGAAUAACGAAAUAGGACGAUCGAACCUAUUUUGUUGGUUUCUAGGAUCGACGUAAUGAUUAAUAGGGAUAGUUGGGGGCAUUAGUAUUCAAUUGUCAGAGGUGAAAUUCUUGGAUUUAUUGAAGACUAACUACUGCGAAAGCAUUUGCCAAGGAUGUUUUCAUUAAUCAAGAACGAAAGUUAGGGGAUCGAAGACGAUCAGAUACCGUCGUAGUCUUAACCAUAAACUAUGCCGACUAGGGAUCGGAUGAAGUUAAUUUUUUAAUGACUCAUUCGGCGCCUUACGGGAAAC
rnacentral:rRNA from 1 species